AUUGAACGCUGGCGGCAGGCCUAACACAUGCAAGUCGAACGGUAACAGGAAGCAGCUUGCUGCUUCGCUGACGAGUGGCGGACGGGUGAGUAAUGUCUGGGAAACUGCCUGAUGGAGGGGGAUAACUACUGGAAACGGUAGCUAAUACCGCAUAACGUCGCAAGACCAAAGAGGGGGACCUUAGGGCCUCUUGCCAUCGGAUGUGCCCAGAUGGGAUUAGCUAGUAGGUGGGGUAACGGCUCACCUAGGCGACGAUCCCUAGCUGGUCUGAGAGGAUGACCAGCCACGCUGGAACUGAGACACGGUCCAGACUCCUACGGGAGGCAGCAGUGGGGAAUAUUGCACAAUGGGCGCAAGCCUGAUGCAGCCAUGCCGCGUGUAUGAAGAAGGCCUUCGGGUUGUAAAGUACUUUCAGCGGGGAGGAAGGGAGUAAAGUUAAUACCUUUGCUCAUUGACGUUACCCGCAGAAGAAGCACCGGCUAACUCCGUG
rnacentral:rRNA from 1 species